AUAAAAUUAUUGAGUCGUACUAUUCGCCUGGUAGUCAUGUUAGCAUUUAUUUAAAAAAAUAAAAAUCUAAAUUGUAUUUGGACUAUAUCUGUAUGUAGGUCCUUAAACUUUGAGGCUGCUCUCUGUUCAGUUUGUUCUCGGGGAGCAGCUCAUUACAAGUAUGUACAAUGCACCCCGGAGAUCUUCAAGUGGGAGGUAGUUACCGCCAAGUGCAAAAAGUUACCGCCACAAAGGCGAAAAUCCUGAAGUAAUAGCAAGUAUGCGGAAAUCCCCAAUCCUGCCCAGUGUAAAGGUGUGCGGUGAUAAAUGAUGACAAAAACACCGAUUUAAAACUAAAUAUCUACACUUUUUCUUGUAGGUUUAAUUUAUUUUCUUACAGCUUCAUCGUUAUUGUGUGCACGUCCAAUGCCAUUCUAUUUGAAGAUUGAAGUUUAUAUAAUAACUGACUAAUAUUAAAUAUUAAUUUUAAAUUUAAACAGUACCAAGAUGGAAACAAACUUGAGUUUACAACAAAGUGAGAUAUAACUGCACUCAGUGAGGUGAAUGUGUAACAAUAUUAUAACCAACUAUUUUUUAUUGCUCAGUGAUUUUGUUUUUAGGUUAACUAUUCCUUCACAACAAAAUCUACUACGAAAUAUGUACAAGUUACAUAGAAAUUAAAACAAAAUUGGACAUAUAUUUACAGUCCAUAGUGAUAAAAGGUACCGUGCAUGUUUUCUGCAUAUACAAUGACAUUACUCAUUAGCACAGCUGGAUUGCAUGCAUGAGAAGCUGCACUAUCCUGGGUAAAAUGCUUCGGUGUAAAUGCCCUGGAGCUCGCCUCAUCUGCCCUUACCAGCGUAACCUGGUGCAUACACAGAUAGCACAUUAAAAACGGAUUUAAAAAGGUCAUUUAACAAAUAAAAUACACUUCCUUUUGUUGAUUCUACAUAAUCUGGGAAUUCAGUGUCAAUAUUUAAAAUUGAAAAACUGCAAGUUUACAAAUUUAACUCUGUCAAGCCGCUGAAUUGCCUCUGAAGAAAAAAACCGACAGUUUAAUUUACGUGACAGACACUACAGUAACCAAUCAAAGUUUUCUGGUGUUUGUAUCGCGCACUUGAAGCUAAAGUCCCGCCCAUUUGGAGCUAAAGUCCCGUCUAUAUGGAGCUGGCUCCAACC
ensembl:lncRNA